UACGUAGGGGGCAAGCGUUGUCCGGAAUUACUGGGCGUAAAGGGCUCGUAGGCGGCCAACUAAGUCGGACGUGAAAUCCCCAGGCUCAACCUGGGAACUGCGUCCGAUACUGGAUGGCUUGAAUUCGGGAGAGGGAUGCAGAAUUCCAGGUGUAGCGGUGAAAUGCGUAGAUAUCUGGAGGAAUACCGGUGGCGAAGGCGGCAUCCUGGACCGACAUUGACGCUGAGGAGCGAAAGCUAGGGGAGCAAACGGG
rnacentral:rRNA from 1 species